AUGAUUUUUCAUUUUUUGUGUUCUAAAAUGUACUGAAUAUUUUGUUGUGCGGUAACAAAACUACUCGGAAACAAGUGUACCCUUCAACAAAACAUCCGGGCAUCUCCAAUGCGGACCAUCAAACCGCCCACAACUGUCUAGACCGCACGGUCCGGAUCCGUUUUGGCAUCCAACGCGGUCCUGCAUUAGUCCGCUCAGCUGCCCGGAUGUGCUUCUCCAACCCCAUGUGCAAUGGGUGUCACAACUGGCGCCAAUGGUUGGGCUGGUCUUUUUUUUCUCAUUCACUCUCUUUGGGCAAAAUAAAUCUCAUAUAUUUCAUCAGUGAUCAUUUAAAACUGACCGUACAUUCGCACCAUAGGUGAUGCAUGGCAAUAUAACAUGGGUGGCAUGCACUAGACAGGCAACUUAACUUACAUCUGACAAGGGAUUGGGUAGGUGAGCCAAGCUCGUACAGGUGCUACUAAAUGUACCCUUUACUCCGCAACAGAAACAGUGCAUAGCCUUCUCUCCUCCUCCUGGUUUCGUGUUCAUAUUAAACCAUUGCAAGCGUCGUGAAAAUGCAAAAGAUAUGCAAGUAUUGUUUCAGCCCUUAUAGUUAGGUUGAGAACAUGGAAAGAUAGCUUCUUCUCAGUAAUGGAGGAGGCCAUAGGAUACCAAUUUGUAGGCUUGGGAGGCAUUAGGAUGAGUGUUUCUAGUACGACGCGGAAUCACAGUUGAUUUAUUCAUAUGGAAAUCGCCACGAUUCUCACAGUGACGGAGGCAGAAUAUUUUUUAUGGUAUGGCCAAUGCAAGCUCCCAUGCAUAUAGCAACACCAAGUUUAAAUAUUUCUCUAACACCAACGUGCAUAUAGCUUGAAUAUGAAUUUUUUUAGGUGUGUGUGUGAUGGAGGUCUAACCUUAUCAGAUUGCUGCCUCCGCCACUCGAUUCUUAUGGACACACUGGACGCUUGCUCGUCCACAUGACCUGGCUUCUCCACUGCCUCGCACGUCCAUGUUCUUACUCGCGCAACGACUCAACCACACGUAUUUCAAGAUUAUUUCCAACUAACAUAACAUGCUCGAUGCGAAUACCAAUUUGUG
rnacentral:lncRNA from 1 species